AUUGAACGCUGGCGGAAUGCCUUACACAUGCAAGUCGAACGGCAGCACGGGAGCAAUCCUGGUGGCGAGUGGCGAACGGGUGAGUAAUAUAUCGGAACGUGCCCAGUCGUGGGGGAUAACGUAGCGAAAGCUACGCUAAUACCGCAUACGAUCUAUGGAUGAAAGCGGGGGAUCGCAAGACCUCGCGCGAUUGGAGCGGCCGAUAUCAGAUUAGGUAGUUGGUGAGGUAAAGGCUCACCAAGCCGACGAUCUGUAGCUGGUCUGAGAGGACGACCAGCCACACUGGGACUGAGACACGGCCCAGACUCCUACGGGAGGCAGCAGUGGGGAAUUUUGGACAAUGGGCGCAAGCCUGAUCCAGCAAUGCCGCGUGCAGGAUGAAGGCC
rnacentral:rRNA from 1 species